rnacentral:lncRNA from 1 species
AGGCUCACGUGAUGGCCCGGGCGAGCUGGGCGGGCGCGGGUCUCCGGGACGGUCUGGGGUGGCUAGGGGGUGCGGCGCCCGGCGGGGAUCCGAAUAGGGGGCAGCCAGCGUACGGUGUGGGAACUCGGGCCGGCGCGGGAGCCUGCGGUCAAGGGGGCUCAGCACUUUGUAAACAAGGAGUGGGAAGCGUUAAAAAAACGCUCGUAGGGAAAACCAGGGAAGGGCGGACAUAGCGCCAGGGUGGCAGGAAUGGAGCCCGGGCAAAGACGGCCCUGCCGUGGGCCCUAGCGCUCCCUUCGUCGGCCCCUGGAGCUGCGGCCGGGCGUGGGUCAGUCGUUCACGGGCCCGGAAAUUCCACUGGGACACCCGAAAAAGUGCUGCACGCCGCCUGAGGGAGACGGAAAGGGACCCGGGGCACUGAGUCCAUUGCUGGGGUCGCCAGGGUACGUGGCAGGACCCGCUGUGCACACUCGGGACUGAGGAGACCCCUGGGACGCGGAGAGCCGCUCCAGGGCAGAACCAGUCCGUCAGCAUUUAGCCUUCCACGGGCCUGAGGGUGCGAGCCCUGCGGGGGCCACAGGGUCAUUGUCCAAAGUCAUCCCCGUUUGCACUGUGGCAGCACCGAACCCGGAAGUAACAGCUUUGGCAGGUCUUUGAUGGUGAUCCAGUGGCAGGAGGAGCUCAGCUGGAAUGGGAAUCAGGAAAGAGACCUGGCUUCUGCCAUUUAUUGGCACUUCACCCUUCUGAACCUCAGCUUUCAAAUGAGAGCUGGCUUCUAGGUCUAGAAUACAGUGAGUGUGAGAAAAAUAACUGAGAGGCGUUGGGACUUCAGUAACUACUCAUUCCUUAACCAGUUGUUGAUUGUGCCUGUUGUGCCAGGAUGAAAUAUUUGUUAAUAAUAGAGACCAGAAAGGAGAGGGGGGAAAAAACAAGCAUAUGUAUGAUUCAAGCAAUGAAGAGCUACUCUCCGGAGUUGGCUCUUUCCUGUGCUUCACUUCGUACUUGAAGAUGCCACAAUGCCUGGCUUCCUUAUCAACCAGCUGAACUCCGAAUUGUGCCUUACAGGAUGCGAAGAAUCCGGCGAGCUAAAGUGUUAAGAUAGUCUCCAUUUAGAAAGGAAAGAGGCUUACAAUGAGAAUUUUUGAAAAAUAAGCCUGAGACUGUGCUGUCUCUAUCGUUGCAUUUGCUUUUCACAGUCCUUGGCACCCACUGCCUUUUUGUCUCCCUCGGUUUCUAACCCGUUCUGUUUUCUUGCAUUUGUUCAGUAUAAGGAGUAUUUCCUGUAUGCUUUGGCAACUAUUUUCCAUAGACUCUGCUUGUGUUCUCCUUAUAAAACCAGAACAAGAGCAGUGCAAAAAAGAAAACGACCCUGAUAGGAAUGCGCUGAUAACCUUACUUUCCCUACUCUCCAAACCUGAAUUGGGCACCCUUGGUUUUAGCAAGAGAUAGAACUCAACAGUUUGCAUACACUUGCGGAUCUGCCUGUAACCCCACUUCCUAUUUCACAGCCUAAUCUCGGAUGAUACCACAAUGCCCACAGUAUGCUGAUCACCACCAACAGCAGAUGGAGGCGGAUAAAAAGAGCUUUCUCGCUAGUGUGUUGUUUUAAAAGAACCUGAUGGAGAGCUAUGAUCAUAUGUAACACUGCCUCUAGUUAGUUUUUAAAUAACACUUGUAGCAUAUGUCUGGCGCCUGUGCUCAGGAUUUCAACAGAUCAUUUUCAGGAUUUUGACAUUUAACUGGCUUCUUAUGAAGUAGCAGAGAGUUCCAAAAUGUAGAACUGAAAUAUAAGCUCCACACACAGGCAGAGAUUUGAGUCUGAUUUGUUUGUGUGUAUAUCCCAAGUGCCUAAAAGCACUUGGCAUACGGUAGAUGCACAAUAGAUUCCUGUUAAAUGUAUUUUUAGGUGAAAAUGUAGUCUGUACUUUGCAUAAACUUGUCCUACUUUCUUCCUAGUUCUUUAAUAAGUAACCUACUUUUCAUUAUAUAUUUUUAAAUGAAAAAACAAAAUUAUAUCUGGCAUCACUACUUUGGCUGGGCUAUAAAGAAACAGGAAUUUGGCAGUAUGUAUUAAAAUUACAAAUGCAUAUAUACUCGGAGCCUUGAAUUUCAUUUCCAGGGAUUUAUGCCACAGAUGUUUCCACACAUAAGAAAUAACAAGGUGUUUCUUAUUGUUGAGAAUAGCAAAAGAUUGGAAACAAGCUAAGUAUCUAUCAACAGGAUACUAGUUAAAUUAUGAUAGAGCCAUAUGUUUGAACAUUGUGCAGCUGUUAAUCAAAAAAACAGAAAGUUCUUUGUUUUAACAUUAAGAUCUCCAAGAUUUUUUUGUUAAGUGAAAAACACAGAAAUACGGUACAGAAUAUUGUAUUAAAUUGUAUAUGCAUUAAACUAGGACAAAGUAACAUGAGGUAUGAGAACACAGUAGAUGGAAAGCAUAAGAAAUAGACUUCAUUGUAUUCAUAUUUAAACUUUUUGAUAUUCAAAAUUUCAGAAUGUUUUAUCUAUUCAAAUAGUGAAAAUGUUUAAAAUUUUUCUGGCAUCUUUUUGUUGUUGUUGUUGUUAUUAAAACAUUCAGGCUUCUUCUGUUUUAUAAAAGUUUACCUGAGUAAAAUAAACAUAUCAAGGAGGCUGGGUGCAGUGGCUCAUGCCUAUAAUCCCAGCACUUUGGGAGGCUGAGGCGGGCAGAUUGCUUGAGCUCAGGAAUUCAAGACCAACCUGGGCAACAUGGCAAGACCCCAUCUCUAAUGAAAAUACAAAAAAAAAAAAAUAGCCAGGCAUGGUGGUGUGUGCCUGUGGUCUCAGCUACUCCAGAGGCUGAAGUAGGAGGAUCACUUCAACCCAGGAGGUGGAGGUUGCAGUUAGUCAAGAUUGUGACACUGCACUCCAGCCUGAGUAACAGAGUGAGACCAUGUCUCAAAUAAAUAAAUAAAUAAAUAAAUAAAUAAAAUCAGGUAAGCUAGUGCUCAUAGGCAAACUUUUGAAAACCUCAGAGUUUUUGUUCAGAUUGAAUGAUGUCUGUUUCUUACCGUAAUAAUUUAAAAUCCAGGUACAUUUAUUUUGAGGCUUAGUAUACAUUUUAUCAAAUGUAUAUAAAUUUUCAGAAGUACUCUAUUUUUCUUCAAGUUUAGUAGAGCCUUCCUUGAACAAGUUUUAACAAAUUGGAUCCUCCA